ACCAUUUUUCCACCAUUCUCCCUCGUUUUCUCCGGCACACCGUCUCCCUCUCAUCCCUCUUUUUUCUCCCCUUUUUCUCCCUGUUUUCUUCUUCAACGGAGGAAGCUGUGCAUUUUGCACCUAAUUUGGAUCAAAGACCAACAAGUCUUUCUUCUUGUUCCUCUAACUAGAGAUAGCUCUCUUUUUCACAAAAAUCCCAAAUCAAGGUAAUAGAUUUCUGGGUUUCUAGAGAAGAGCAUUGUGGAUUUCUGGAGGUCUUUCGUUUUUUGCCUACAAAUUUCUGGAGAAGUGCACAGCAACCCAAGGGGGUUGGGUUCGCGGGACGGAAUGGGCAGAGCCAUUUCAGAUUUGGUGACUAGAGAAGAGGGCGGAAGGCAUGAUUUGGUAACUGGGUUCGCGGGAAGAAGGAGAUCCGGGAUCUAA
rnacentral:sRNA from 1 species